AGCAAAGCUUCCUUGGCCAACUUUAAAACACAAACAUCUCCAAUUCUGCCGGAUUACAUUUCAGUCUCCAUUCACACCCCAUUUCCCUUCAUCCGCGACUUGUUUCCCAUUUCAGCAACUCCAACAUUCCACAACACCAUACCAUUUCACUUCAUCUCCUGCCUUGGUAUCAUCGAAGAGAGGAAAUCAGAGAGAGAGAGUUGCGGACGGCAAUUUCUGGACAGCCGAGAGGAGGGAAACAUUUUUGCAGCUAGCCGAGGGUGUUGAGCCAAACUGAGGGUAUAGCGAGGACGUGGAAUUUUGAAUCCCAGAUUGAACUCUGAACUUCACUUUUGGGUUCUGGAAACUGAAAGAUGGAUGCCUAUUUAU